rnacentral:rRNA from 1 species
CGGUGGAUGAUGUGUUUAAUUCGAUGCAACGCGAAAACCUUACCACCUUGACAUGUACGGAAGCCUUUAGAGAUAGAGGCGUGCUCGAAAGAGAGCCGUAACACAGGUGCUGCAUGGCUGUCGUCAGCUCGUGUCGUGAGAUGUUGGGUUAAGUCCCGCAACGAGCGCAACCCUUGUCAUUAGUUGCUACAUUCAGUUGGGCACUCUAAUGAGACUGCCGGUGACAAGCCGGAGGAAGUGGGGAUGACCGUCAAGUCCUCAUGGCCCUUAUAGGUGGGGCUACACACGUCAUACAAUGGCUGGUACAAAGGGUUGCCAACCCGCGAGGGGGAGCUAAUCGCAAAAAGGUGGGCCCAGUUCGGAUUGGGGUCUGCAACCCGACCCCAUGAAGCCGGAAUCGCUAGUAAUCGCGGAUCAGCCAUGCCGCGGUGAAUACGUUCCCGGGCCUU